rnacentral:rRNA from 1 species
GUAGGUGGCAAGCGUUGUCCGGAAUUAUUGGGCGUAAAGCGCGCGCAGGCGGUUCUUUAAGUCUGAUGUGAAAGCCCACGGCUCAACCGUGGAGGGUCAUUGGAAACUGGAGAACUUGAGUACAGAAGAGGAAAGCGGAAUUCCACGUGUAGCGGUGAAAUGCGUAGAGAUGUGGAGGAACACCAGUGGCGAAGGCGGCUUUCUGGUCUGUAACUGACGCUGAGGCGCGAAAGCGUGGGGUGCAAACAGGAUUAGAUACCCUGGUAGUCCACGCCGUAAACGAUGAGUGCUAAGUGUUAGGGGGGUUUCCGCCCCCCUUAGUGCUGCAGCUAACGCAUUAAGCACUCCGCCUGGAGUACGGCCGCAAGGCUG